rnacentral:rRNA from 1 species
AACGAACGCUGGCGGCAUGCCUAACACAUGCAAGUCGAACGAGACCUUCGGGUCUAGUGGCGCACGGGUGCGUAACGCGUGGGAACCUGCCCUUAGGUUUGGAAUAACUCCCCGAAAGGGGUGCUAAUACCGGAUCAUGUCUUCGGACCAAAGAUUUGUCGCCUUUGGAUGGGCCCGCGUUGGAUUAGCUGGUUGGUAGGGUAAAAGCCUACCAAGGCGACGAUCCAUAGCUGGUCUGAGAGGAUGGUCAGCCACACUGGGACUGAGACACGGCCGAGACUCCUACGGGAGGGAGCAGUGGGGAAUAUUGGACAGUGGGCGAAAGCCUGAUCGAGCAAGGCCGCGUGAGUGAUGAAGGCCUGAGGGUUGUAAAGCUCUUUUACCCGUGAUGAUAAUGACAGUACCGGGAGAAUAAGCUCCGGCUAACUCCGUG